rnacentral:rRNA from 1 species
GUCCAUGCCGUAAACGUUGGGCACUAGGUGUGGGGACAUUCCACGUUUUCCGCGCCGUAGCUAACGCAUUAAGUGCCCCGCCUGGGGAGUACGGCCGCAAGGCUAAAACUCAAAGGAAUUGACGGGGCCCGCACAAGCGGCGGAGCAUGCGGAUUAAUUCGAUGCAACGCGAAGAACCUUACCAAGGCUUGACAUGUUCCAGACCGGGCUAGAGAUAGUCCUUCCUUCGGGCUGGUUCACAGGUGGUGCAUGGUUGUCGU